GACGAACGCUGGCGGCGUGCCUAAUACAUGCAAGUUGAGCGCUGAAGGUUGGUACUUGUACCAACUGGAUGAGCAGCGAACGGGUGAGUAACGCGUGGGGAAUCUGCCUUUGAGCGGGGGACAACAUUUGGAAACGAAUGCUAAUACCGCAUAAAAACUUUAAACACAAGUUUUAAGUUUGAAAGAUGCAAUUGCAUCACUCAAAGAUGAUCCCGCGUUGUAUUAGCUAGUUGGUGAGGUAAAGGCUCACCAAGGCGAUGAUACAUAGCCGACCUGAGAGGGUGAUCGGCCACAUUGGGACUGAGACACGGCCCAAACUCCUACGGGAGGCAGCAGUAGGGAAUCUUCGGCAAUGGACGGAAGUCUGACCGAGCAACGCCGCGUGAGUGAAGAAGGGUUUCGGAUCGUAAAACUCUGUUGGUAGAGAAGAACGUUGGUGAGAGUGGAAAGCUCAUCAAGUGACGGUAACUACCCAGAAAGGGACGGCUAACUACGUG
rnacentral:rRNA from 1 species